rnacentral:rRNA from 1 species
UACGGAGGGUGCAAGCGCUGCUCGGAAUUAUUGGGCGUAAAGGGUAGGUAGGUGGUCUCAUUUGUCUGGGGUGAAAGCCUUGAGCUUAACUCAAGAAGUGCCCCAGAAACGGUGAGACUAGAGUCCUGGAGAGGGUCGUGGAAUUCCCGGUGUAGCGGUGAAAUGCGUAGAGAUCGGGAGGAACACCAGAGGCGAAGGCGACUUCCUGGCCUGUUCUUGACGCUGAGGCGCGAAAGCUAGGGGAGCAAACGGG